CUAGUCACUCGUGAAUCAUCGAAUCUUUGAACGCAAUUUGCACCUCGUCGCUUCGGUGACAAGGUAUACUUGUUUGAGUAUCACAAACAACCUCACACUCCCCUUGGGGCAGUGUGGACUUGAGAGUUCUGUUCCUUUGGGGACAGUCUCUUUAAAAUGCAGGUUUUGAAAGUCUCAGCGUGAGAUGACUAUUGGGAUAACAUCCUAACAAUAGCAUUGCUUUGACUUGAUCCUCUUUAGUGAGGAGCAGAGCCACCCGAUGGUGUGUAUGCCGCAAGGUGUAUGCAGUAUCAAUCAUUUUAAUGUUGAUCUCAAAUCAAGUAGGGAUACCCGCUGAACUUAAGCAUAUCAAUAAGCGGAGG
rnacentral:rRNA from 1 species